UACGUAGGGUCCGAGCGUUGUCCGGAAUUAUUGGGCGUAAAGGGCUCGUAGGCGGUUUGUCGCGUCGGGAGUGAAAUCCACUGGCUUAACUGGUGGCUUGCUUUCGAUACGGGCAGACUGGAGGUAUGCAGGGGAGAACGGAAUUCCUGGUGUAGCGGUGAAAUGCGCAGAUAUCAGGAGGAACACCCGUGGCGAAGGCGGUUCUCUGGGCGA
rnacentral:rRNA from 1 species